rnacentral:rRNA from 1 species
UACGAAGGGUGCAAGCGUUACUCGGAAUUACUGGGCGUAAAGCGUGCGUAGGUGGUGAGUUAAGUCUGUCGUGAAAGCCCCGGGCUCAACCUGGGAAUGGCGAUGGAUACUGGCUCGCUAGAGUGCGGUAGAGGAGAGUGGAAUUCCCGGUGUAGCAGUGAAAUGCGUAGAGAUCGGGAGGAACAUCAGUUGCGAAAGCGGCGCACUGGACCACAACUGACGCUGAGGCGCGAAAGCUAGGGGAGCAAACAGG